GACAGAGGUGCCGAGCGUUAGGCGGAAUCACUGGGCUUAAAGCGUGUGUAGGCGGGCCGUUAAGUAUCUUGUGAAAUCCCCCGGCUCAACCGGGGAAUGGCUGGAUAUACUGGCGGUCUUGAGCAGUUCAGGGGCAGAUGGAACAGACGGUGGAGCGGUGAAAUGCGUAGAUAUCGUCUGGAACGCCAAAGGUGAAGACAGGUCUCUGGGCAUUAACUGACGCUGAGGAGCGAGAGCAUGGGGAGCGAACAGG
rnacentral:rRNA from 1 species